rnacentral:rRNA from 1 species
UGCUACCUACGGGACGCAGCAGUGAGGAAUAUUGGUCAAUGGGCGGAAGCCUGAACCAGCCAAGUCGCGUGAGGGAAUAAGGCCCUACGGGUCGUAAACCUCUUUUGCCGGGGAGCAAGGGCGGGGACGUUUCCCGUCCCUUAUAUUACCCGGAGAAAAAUCAUCUGCUAACUCCUUGCCAGCAUCCGCGGUAAUACGGAGGAUGCGAGCGUUAUCCGGAUUUAUUGGGUUUAAAGGGUGCGUAGGCGGGCUUUUAAGUCAGCGGUAAAAAUUCUGGGCUCAACCCCGUCCGUUCUUUUAAACUG